ACUGACGGAGAAACGGGAGUACAAGCGAAAGCUUGCUAGAAUCGUCGAGUGGCUAUGGAAGUCAGACUGUCAUUUAUCAACAUUCUCAAGAUGAGAGUCAUUGUGAGAGAUAUCUCGGGCAGCAAAAUACUCUAUCUAGACGGGGCUCCAUCAGUAGCAUAAAACCGCCGCCUCCAAUCCGCAGAACACCGUCAAUAAACCGUGUUCAGGGAUGUGGUGGCUUGGAUCAAUUUCCACCACCACCAGCAUACCUCUUAGAAUCCAGGUCCAUCAGUUCAUCCAUCCAAAGCAUGACAUCAUCCAUCGUGGCCGAACUCCAGCAACGCCAGCGAUCGCCCAGCAUGGACCGUCGCAAAUCAUCUCUCACGAAUGUAUACCCAUGCGGCACCAAAAAUGAUCCGUCUUGUUGCAAAAAUAAUAGGGAGAAUAUGUAUUCAAAGAAUGAACGGAGCUCUUUUCAGUCUAAGGCCGCAAUAGAAAUUGAAACUAAGCAGAUGAGUGUGGCUGAUACUGUGCGAGCAUUAACCGAGUUGAAACACCAGCCUGCUAGUCCCGUAUCUGUUCGUAGAUCCACCAGCAUCAGGUCAGUAAGUGCCGAUCGGCAUCCGUCCAAUAGUUAUAUCUCUCCCCGAAAACUUGAUCCUCGCUUAUGUCAUGACUCCCUCAUGGAGCAGAUCAAAAAGGGCACUCUCCUGCGCAAAACACGCACUGUUAAUGAUAGAUCUGCACCACACAUACAUUGA
rnacentral:lncRNA from 1 species